CACUCUGUGGGGAAGACUCCACACAGGCAAACGCAGAUCACCACAGAAGUGUAGAUCCACAAUGACUGAUGAGCACCUUGUGGCUUGCCUCCACCUUGCAACCUGCUCCUACUGCCCUGCUUAUGAAAAGUUAGCUGCCUCCUCCCAGUGCAAGAGAUCCCACUAAGGGUCCUGUCCAUCUCAUAUUGGAGCCAGUCUUCAUGCCAAGAGUCCUGUCCAUCUUCUACUGAAGGGUCCUAAUGUUUCUGUUCAUCUUCAUCCUGAAGUCUGGCUUCAUGUUGGUGGAUCCUGUCCGUCUCAAGCUGAAGGGUCCUGUCCACAUCCAUGUCAAUGAAUCAAGUCUAUGUUUGUGUCCGAGUGUCCUGUCUGUCUCCAUGAUGAAGGUUUCUGUCCGUCUUCAAGCUGAAGGGUCCUCCUCAUCUGUUAAAUGGAGGGUCCUGUCUGUCUGUGUGAAGUAGUUUUCCUCUUUCCACUGCCGAAGUGUCCACUGCCCUGCCAGACGCAAUGGCUACAUGAGGCCUCGCCGGUCCUGCCAGAGCUACCCGAGGUAUCACCGAUCCCACCAGAUGCAGAGACCGGCCCCGGGAUCCAAGAAAUGUGGAUCCAUCAUACUUAAGUCAAAGAGUGUAUCCAGAAAAGCCCCAGUGCAAAACGCUACCGGGGAAGUGACAGCCCUGCCAGACGUAAAGGCCACCUGGGGCUUUGCUUGCUCAGCCUGACGCAAAAGCAAGUCUGCAGGAUUUAGAAAAGGGUCUCUUUAAUGUCCCUGCAGUAAAUAAAGUUCAGGUUUGCCAGUCGCAAGGGCUACCAUUGGGAACUAAUGACCCUGACCCCAGGUGUGAAUUAUGAUCCCAUGAGAACUCUCAGCCUUUCUCUUUAAGAGUCAGUCUGAGUCACUCUCAUGGAAUCACCUGCAGCUAUUGGAAGCCAGCCCGUCUGCUUCAUCAUCACUGUCCUCCCUGCCAUGUCUUCUGGAGCUGCUUGAGCCUUCAGAUGAGGGAUGCUCGAUCUCCUACCAGGAGUCAGAGGAAGAGUCCUCGUACUCCUCAGAGCCGCUAGAGGAUUCCAUGCUCUCAAAAGCAUCCUGGACCUCCUCCACAAAAGUAAGUCAGAGGAAGAGUCCUCAUACUCCUCAGGGCUGCUAGAGGAUUCCAUGCUCUCAAAAGCAUCCUGGAUCUCCUCCCAAAAGUAAGUCAGAGGAAGAGUCCUUGUACUCCUCAGAGCCGCUAGGGGAUUCCAUGCUCUCAAAAGCAUCCUCCAUCUCCUCCCUUACAUCAGAGAAUGAAGAAGAGUCCUCCUCUGAUGAAGGGUGGCAAUGCAUGUGCAUGUUCAUCAGGCUGUCCAGGAAAGGAGUGAUGACCCAAGGUCAGAUGAUAAGAGGAACUCGUGGUUAUCAGCUCUGCUUUAAGGACAGCUGAGGGCCAAGAAACAAUACACACACACAUCAUGUUCAUAAUGAAAAAUAGUGAACAAUAGAUAGUUUGUCUGGAAGACGUGUAUCAUUUAAUACAUACGUGUUCGAAAUUAGGGCCAAUGGGAGACAGCUGCGUAUUGGCACCCAAUUGUACACCUCUCAAGCUUAUACUCUAUAUAAGAUUAUCACAUCCAGGAUUCAGGGCUCAUUUUUCUCAUUUCCUGCGGGAGCUCUGUCAUUUUGAGACCAGCGCUGUACUUCUUUACCUGUGACCACAAUAAAUGUUUCCUGAGACCUGAA